CUCAGCUAUGUUGUCUGAGUACAGCAAUAUCCCCGUAUGUACCUUUGCGGAUGUUGAAGGGGCACAUUUGAGACGCAGCCAUUCAGUUUUUUUCCAACUUCAAAAGCUCAAUUAUCUGCUGGCCAGAAAUAAUACAGUUUUUACAGCAUUCAUAACUUCUAAAAUAUACACCACAUUCACAUAAAAAUUAUAUAUUCACAAUCAAUC